AGAGUUUGAUCCUGGCUCAGGAUGAACGCUGGCGGUAUGCCUAACACAUGCAAGUCGUACGGGAGUUUUUAACUCUAGUGGCGGACGGGUGAGUAACACGUGAGAAUUUGCCUUUAGGAGGGGGACAACAGUUGGAAACGACUGCUAAUACCCCAUAUGCUUUCGAGUGAAAUGGAUUUAUAUUUAUCCGCCUAGAGAGAAGCUCGCGGCUGAUUAGCUUGUUGGUAAGGUAAGAGCUUACCAAGGCGACGAUCAGUAUCUGGUUUGAGAGGACGAUCAGACACACUGGAACUGAGACACGGUCCAGACUCCUACGGGAGGCAGCAGUGGGGAAUUUUCCGCAAUGGGCGAAAGCCUGACGGAGCAAUACCGCGUGAGGGAAGACUGCCUAUGGGUUGUAAACCUCUUUUUUCAGGGAGGAAUCAAUGACGUGUACCUGAAGAAUAAGCAUCGGCUAACUCCGUGCCAGCAGCCGCGGUAAG
rnacentral:rRNA from 1 species